GCGUCAUUACACCACUCAAGCCUCGCUUGGUAUUGGGCGACGCGGUACGCCGCGCGCCCCAAAUCUUCCGGCUGGGUCUCGAUCGUCCCUCAGCGUUGUGGAAACUAUUCGCUAAAGGUGCACUUUUGGGUCACGCCGUUAAACAACCCCAUUCAUUAAAGGUUGACCUCGGAUCAGGUAGGGAUACCCGCUGAACUUAA
rnacentral:misc_RNA from 1 species